UCUCUGGUAGUCCAGUGGUUAAGACCCUGUGCUCCCAAUGCAGGGGGCCCAGGUUCAAUCCCUGCUCAGGGAA